UCUGUCGACACGGGAGAGACUGGCCCCGCGCCAGCGCCGAAGGAGCAACCGCCCCGGAAACUCUCAGGCCAAAGGACCGGUUGACCAA
rnacentral:ncRNA from 2 species